rnacentral:lncRNA from 1 species
UCGACACCAAAUUUGCAAAUUAACAUAAAAAUGUAUGUCAUUCUUACAAAGUAUCAAAUGUGCUACUACCGCACUACAUAAUAAUAUCAAACUUAAAGUUGUCCAACACAAAAAAAUACAUAUAAUUGAUUUAACGAAAAUACAUAACGGAAAAUAACUAAAACUAAACUUCACUGGAUUUCAAAGAUUCUUUGAUAUUGGCUGCUUGAGAUCCUAAUCCAAAUAUGUUUCCCUUCUUGUUAAUGCCUCCAUGUAUAUACUAUCAUCGUCAUAUGUUGUCGGCUAUCCUCACCUCUUUGAGAGUUUCUCUCAAACAAUUUAGUUUACGCAAAUCCAUCUCCUCUCAUCAUGUAGAGAAGCAACUCUUAGCUCUUCCUCUAGCUCUACCAAAGUUUAUGCAACUCUCCGAAACCAAUUCAAAAUCAAAUGUUAGCAAUUAGCAUAAUAUGUGCAUGAAUUAACUACAUCGUUGUCAAAUUAUAUAAGUGUAGGAACUAACUAACAUUAUGUGAAUUAAAAAUAUAGAAUUUGAAAGAAGCUGACAAGUUUUAAUGGCAUAACUUUUAAGUUGGUCUGGAACAAAUUUUCCUUCCUGUAUCCUUCACUUGGUCAUGGAACUCUUUGGGAAGUCUAGAGUAUAAAUUNNNNNNNNNNNNNNNNNNNNNNNNNNNNNNNNNNNNNNNNNNNNNNNNNNNNNNNNNNNNNNNNNNNNNNNNNNNNNNNNNNNNNNNNNNNNNNNUGGAGGUUAGAAUCAAAUCAUUGUCUACUAUCGAUCAAUUAGAUGUUAGGCGCUUGUGGUAUAAAACCAGUUUUGGGAUACCAACUAUUGACCAGAAAGAACAGAUAAUUAAAUAUUGGAACAUGACAAUAUUCAAUAUAUAGUUUUCUAAUCUGCAAUAUUGGCAUGCUGAAUUUAUUAGAUGUUGGAUAUCAGUUCAAAAAAUUGUGCAUCACUCUAGUCCUUGAAAACUAUAACAUUCAGUUUCUUCACUGCAAACAGAUAAAGGAUCAUUCCAAAGAUUUUAAGCAUGUGAAGCACCAAUAAAUAAAAAACCCAUUAUCUUGAGAAUGAGAGAGAUAAACGACACUUACAAGGUAAAACUAAAACUAAAAUUGAUUUCAGACUUCAUAGAAAUGAGCAAACAAAAACACACAAAUUUGACACUCACAUUUUCCACAAAGUUAAAGUAGUCAUAGNNNNNNNNNNNNNNNNNNNNNNNNNNNNNNNNNNGCCAUACCUGCUCUGUUGCUUCACUCUUCCACACACUCACUUUGCAUAAAUCCUUCAAAUAAUCUGUCAAAAGAGGAACAUCAUUUACAAUAGGAAAAAGAAAAACAUAACCAAUAAUUAAAGAAAAGGUAAAAAGGGAUAUCUACACAUGCAACUUCAAAACAAAACUUAGAAACAAUAAGCAUAAUAGUUUAUUUAUGGAAGUCACAAUAGUAAAAACCCAACAUGAGCAAAAUAGAAUCUCUAGAACAUGAAAGGAACACAACUUAUCAAAGUUCCUANNNNNNNNNAACAUAAGGUAUCAAGCAUAAGAUCAAAACAUGAUAUAUAUCAGUGCUAAAGGAUACAUGUCAUAUACUAGCAUAUAUUAGCAUUCAAAUUGAUAACAAUCCUAAAUGAAAAUUAAUCUAAUCAGAUUCCUUCACUCAUAGUUCAAUCUUAUUAAUUCCAAUACAUAUAAUAACUAGACAGCCUAAUGCAACUUCAGUAUGACAUCAGUUAAAGUUAACAAAGGUAUGCUGUAUCAAAUAAUACUAAAAAAGACAACAUAGACAAUCAUUAUAGUGUUUAUUUAUGUUUGUCAGUUAUGAACAGUGGAGGUGGCUUUAUCUAAUUUAUAGUACAGAGAACUCUGGAACAUUAGAUCAGGUUUAAAUUCAUAGUCAAUAAUAUAUAGGUCACUUUGUUGGUGAUAAGGUGGCGUUGAGUUCCUUUACCAGAAGCAGGAGCAAUGGAAAUCAUAACAUGCAGUGGAUCUUCCGUCUACGCCAUUUCUAGAUUUGGCAAGUCCAUAUUGUUGUCUCAAGCUCCCUAAAUUGUCUAGAGCUCUUUCAAACAAGCAUAAUAUCUCAUCCUUCACAGCUAAUGAUCUGCAAUGCAUUGACCGCUCAAACAUUAAUUUAGACAAACAAGGUAGAUACAUGAUAAUAAAAUCAAUAACAAAAUUAGAAUCAUUGCAAUCUAGUACUGGUCUAGCUAACAUGUCACAUAGACACUACAAUCAACCACCUCAGAUAAGAGAGCCUUCAACUUCUGAAGUUAUUUGUAUGAUUGCCGAGAGAUAUCAUAAGGUAUCAUGAGACAAAGCAAAGUAAAACAGGGGAAAUUGUAAGGUAUCAUGAGAGAUCAAAACAUAUUAUCAAAUAUUAUCGGUGGAAAAUGAAUUAACGAAACUUGAUCAAAACAAUGUUGCUCAUCAAGGCAUGUGGUUAUCAUAUGUCAAAACCAAUCCAAUAAUCAAUAAACCAUCUUCCCACAUUCUAAAUUUAAUUCACCUAUAUUUUCAUAUCAAAACGCUUUUUUUUUUUCAAUCAAAACAAGGUUGAAACUUCACUAACCUCUAUCCCAAUUUCAGCAACACACCAGAAACCAACUAUUUAUUAACAAUUAUUCAGUACAGCAGAGUAUAGUACACAGACACUGAAUAAUUUUUAAACAAGCAGAGUAAGCAAACAACAUGAAGAACACUAAGAAUCAUAAUGUAAAACCAAAAAAUCCCUAAACUUUUGAUAGAUAGCUAGUGAUCUAAGAAUAUUAAAUCAGAAAACAAAACCUACAGAUUUUGAGAAAUACCAAAUGAAAAUCGUAGAAAUAUAAAGGAAGAUGAGUGUUCUACCGAACUUUCUAUUCUCCUCUUAGCUUAUGCGGCAUCAAUUCUUGCAUUCCUGGAUGUUUUAGGGUUUAAGAGAUUAAGAGGAAAGGGCCUACUAAUAGAAAAACUGUAAACUCAGAAAACCUAGAUCUAUUGUUUAACGAGAAAAGAGAGAAAACCUGAACCAUCGGCGUUGUCAUGUCCCAUCGCGUAUUCGAUUGUAUUUGCCGUUAAUGUUCCAAUCAAGCUUCGACAAAGCAGUGGAUUGAUCGGAUCUUGAAAGGAGAGGUAUAUACUUCAGGUUCGAAGAGAGAUUGGGAAAGAAGGUUUUUUUUUUUUUUAAUA